GUCGAGCGGAUGAGAAGAGCUUGCUCUUCGAUUCAGCGGCGGACGGGUGAGUAAUGCCUAGGAAUCUGCCUGAUAGUGGGGGACAACGUUUCGAAAGGAACGCUAAUACCGCAUACGUCCUACGGGAGAAAGCAGGGGACCUUCGGGCCUUGCGCUAUCAGAUGAGCCUAGGUCGGAUUAGCUAGUUGGUGAGGUAAUGGCUCACCAAGGCUACGAUCCGUAACUGGUCUGAGAGGAUGAUCAGUCACACUGGAACUGAGACACGGUCCAGACUCCUACGGGAGGCAGCAGUGGGGAAUAUUGGACAAUGGGCGAAAGCCUGAUCCAGCCAUGCCGCGUGUGUGAAGAAGGUCUUCGGAUUGUAAAGCACUUUAAGUUGGGAGGAAGGGCAUUAACCUAAUACGUUAGUGUUUUGACGUUACCGACAGAAUAAGCACCGGCUAACUCUGUGCCAGCAGCCGCGGUAAUACAGAGGGUGCAAGCGUUAAUCGGAAUUACUGGGCGUAAAGCGCGCGUAGGUGGUUUGUUAAGUUGGAUGUGAAAUCCCCGGGCUCAACCUGGGAACUGCAUCCAAAACUGGCAAGCUAGAGUAGGGCAGAGGGUGGUGGAAUUUCCUGUGUAGCGGUGAAAUGCGUAGAUAUAGGAAGGAAC
rnacentral:rRNA from 1 species